AAAAGUUUGGUCCUAGCUUGAUUGUCAACUAUUUCUCG
rnacentral:rRNA from 1 species